CUCUUUGCAUCCCUGCUAAACAGGGUAUCGUUCUCUUCAAUUCAGGAUACGAAAAUUCUUGCUAAAUAUCCUUCUUGUGGCUUUCAAUGGCUGCUUUUCCUUCUGCACAGAAUUUUACGAAUACCCAGAUGCAGAAUUUUGGGUUUCAAGGCACAGAGGUGAAAGCAGAGUCAGUAGAAUCACAAGUGAUUGUUACCCUUUUGAUUAAACACCUCCCUGAAGAUAUCCCUUUUGACACACUUUCAAGACUUUUCUCUCAUUAUGGUGCUUUCUCUGUCCGCCCUUGCAAUUCUGGAAGAUUGAGAAAUUGUGCCUUUGUGGAUUUCCAAAGUGAAGGACUGGCUUAUCAAGCGCAUCGUCAGUUAAAUGGGCUGAGGUUUCUUGGCAAGGUCUUAUCGGUGGAGAGAGCUAGUAAGCUAAAUGAGGAUAGUAAAUUUAAACAAAGUGAGGCUCAACAAGGAAAGGAUUCUGUACUACCAACAUCUUUGAUGAAGGAUGCUUCUGUGACUAGAGAUGUCAUUGAAGGUUCAAAUUUUGGGUCCUUACCUGCUAGUGAACCAAUUGCACCAAGGCUUGGUGUUGACUAUCCAUUUCCUCCUCACUUGGAGUAUGCUUACCCUCCACCAGAUGGAAACAUUCUGACCAACAUUGUAAAUGCUCUUAUUGCUGUUCCUCGCUUCUAUACACAGGUGUUGCAUUUGAUGAACAAAAUGAAUAUUCCAGCUCCAUUUCGAAUGGCCCUACCCACUCCACCUCUACCACUGCCACCACCCUCUCCUCCACCACCACCCCCUCCUCCAUGUUUAACUGAAAAUUCUUCACUGGCAGAGCAAUCUAGUAGCGAGUCAGAAAUGGAGUCUUCGGAUGAGGAGGUUGAUGAUAAAGCCCCUUAUGGAGCCUCAGGAGCUGUUAAACAAAGAAGAAAACGCAUUAAACGGAAAGCAAUUGUAGGACCUGCAGCUGAUAAAGACGUGGUUCAUGAAUCUGUUGGCCUGAAACCUGCCUCCUUGGUCCCAAAAGAAAUUCCAAUUAUAAAGAAAAAGAAUACCGUGCUGCAGAUUAAGAUCGCACCAAAAGUAACUCAUAAUGAAUAUAAGGAUGAUAGCAUUAUGACAGAAUCUGAGGACCCAGGCACAGAGGGUUCAGAUCAGAAACACUAUGCAACUGCAGAAGAAAUAGAGAGUAAAAGGCUCGUUCCAGAGGAAAUUUUAUCACUUCCAAAGUUUAAGAACUACACAGUUGGGAAUCCUGCAUCUGUUCUGUACAUAAAGAACCUUGACAAAGAAGUGGUUGCUGAUGAUUUCUUCUACAUAUUUGGAUCACUAUUUGGAAGCAUUGAUGCAGCUAAAAGUGGCCUCAGUGUCAAGUUGAUGCAGGAGGGAAGAAUGAGGGGUCAAGCUUUUGUAACGUUUUCAUCAGUUGAACUUGCCCAUCAAGCUCUGAAUCUAGUGAAUGGAUAUGUAUUCAAAGACAAACCGAUGAUCAUACAAUUUGGUCGGAAUCCUUCAGCUGCCAAGCCAAAUUAGACAGACUUGUCAUGAAUAGGAGCUGUUUAUACUAUGCCACUCAUGGUUCGUGGUAUCUGCAUCCUCUGGCUGUAGGAAGUUGAAAAUGUCAAUAUUUCUGUGCAUGGGGAGGAUGUGCAGAGCAAGCUGCCAUGGAUGGGCAUUUUCAGUUGCUGCUGUCAAUAUUAAGCAGCUCAAAUUGGAAAAGAGUAGAGGGAGGGGGAGGAGGUUAUGACAUGCAAUGCUGACUGACUAGUACUAAUCUUAUAUACCAGCGAGAAGAAAAGGAUGACCUCUUGUUUCCGGCAUGCAGAAACGUUUAAAUUCACAACUUUCUGAUACGGAGCUUUCUUUUUCUGUAACAUUCUGGAGCGUUGAGGGAUCUGGACAUGGUAAAUUGAAAGAGAUGUUUGUGAAAGAGAAAUUGAACCAAACAAUAGUUGUCAAUCUCUCCUGUCCUGUACUUCAUCAAAUGGGGCAUUCGAAAUUGUGCAGGCUUCAUGAAAUGGUUAGAUAAGCAGAAAAUAGUUAUUCUCA